AGUAUCCUCUGCUCCAUUUUACAGGUGGGGAAACUGAGGCAGGGAGUGGCUUGCCCAGAGUCAACGAGGUGCCCCUGUGGAGCUGGGGAGAGAAGCUGCUGCCAUCCCAGGAGGAAGCCUGUCCUGACACCAAAACCCAUGCUGUGCAGCCCAUCUGCACCCUCGCAGGGGCUCUGAUCGAUACGGGUUCGGUCUCUGACGGAGCUCACGGGGCAGCUGCACAAACACGUGUGCGAGCACCAGCGACCCAUCGGGGCAGAGGUGACAAGAGGGAGGCAAGGACAGCAGAAGCAGGGGCUGCCUUUUCUCAUUAUAAGUGCUGGAUGAAGAUGUACACGAAACUUCAGCUUUAAACCAAUUAUGCCUCAGCUCUUCACCUGUGGGAACAGAGUUCAUAAUCUCCCAUUGUUUUCCUGUCCUGUCCCCUGCUAUUAUUUGUGCUACAAUCCAAAGGAGCACUGGUUUUAGAUAUAAUAAUUGCAUUUCUGUAACAAUUGCAGCUGCAAGGUAUUCCACUUGAAGUGGCGUUUGUCACUGAGAAACACUAACUCCAUUGACAACUUAGCUAACUAUAGGUGAACUCAAACUUUGCAUUUUUUAGCUAAAAAAAGUUUUCUUGUAUGCUUUUGUUCUCUGAGAAACUUGAAACAAAAAUAUCUGUCUUUUAAAUACCCAGCCCCACACUUCCUGACUGACCCAGUAUAAGCCACUGCUCAUGCACUGCACUCAUUAUUUCCUCUCUUUGAAGAAAAAUUAGCCACAGUCUGGCAAUACCUUGCCUUCCCAUUGACCUUAUCUCUCAUCUUCUGGGGAGAGCGAGCUGCUCUUCUCAAGAAGGCAAGCUAAAGACAGAGCAGAGCACACGGGUGGUGAGAAGGGUUUGAGACAUCCGCUUCUUCAGCCCCGGUCUUUUCUGGUUCUGCUGACUGGUCUCCUCCCUGACACCAAAGUACCUCGCUGAUGGCCACUGCAGGAGGAGGCUGAAAACCAUUUGAUUUUCUUUUGCUGCUUUUUUCAGUUUGGCUAUUUUCUUAACAAAAUAUGUUCUUUCUGCAGCAAUACUGCUAUUGCCAUGGCAAGUGCUAAAGUCUGGCUAUUGUUAGACUGCAGAGAUCAUCAAAAAGCAACUUUAGCUCUUGUCUUUGCAUUGUAACCGAGGCUUUGCUUCCACGGGAGGAGCCAAGGUCUCCUCAACCCACUGAGGACUUCUGUCAUCACGUCAGCAGCUCUGCGUGUUCACUCCAUCUGUGCUGCCAGACCAGUGGGAGCUGGUGCCUGUCACUUACAGGGAGCAGGUUUUUCUUAUGUUACUUUUGAGGUCCUACAAUGAACCACACCUCCAGUCAUGUUUCU
rnacentral:lncRNA from 1 species